rnacentral:rRNA from 1 species
UACGGGAGGCACAGUAGGGAAUAUUGGAGCAAUGGACGCAAGUCUGACCCAGCCAUGCCGCGUGCAGGAUGAAGGCGUUAUGCGUUGUAAACUGCUUUUAUACAGGAAGAAACGACUCCUUGCGAGAGCGCAUCUGACGGUCUGUAUGAAUAGCCCGGCUAACUCCGUGCCAGCAGCCGCGGUAAUAA